ACACCGAUGGUGAAGCGGUUAUCAUGCUUGCCUUCCAUUCAGGUCGGUCAUCCAAAUCGGUAGCAAGCGGCAGGGGUUCGACUCCCCUUCGGUGUA